rnacentral:rRNA from 1 species
CCUACGGGUGGCAGCAGUCGAGAAUCAUUCACAAUGGGGGAAACCCUGAUGGUGCGACGCCGCGUGGGGGAAUGAAGUUCUUCGGAUUGUAAACCCCUGUCAUGUGGGAGCAAAUUAAAAAGAUCGUACCACAAGAGGCAGAGACGGCUAACUCUGUGCCAGCAGCCGCGGUAAUACAGAGGUCUCAAGCGUUGUUCGGAAUCACUGGGCGUAAAGCGUGCGUAGGCUGUUUCGUAAGUCGUGUGUGAAAGGCGCGGGCUCAACCCGCGGACGGCACAUGAUACUGCGAGACUAGGGUAAGGGAGGGGGAACCGGAAUUCUCGGUGUAGCAGUGAAAGGCGUAGAUAUCGAGAGGAACACUCGUGGCGAAGGCGGGUUACUGGACAUUAACUGACGCUGAGGCACGAAGGCCAGGGGAGCGAAAGGGAUUAGAUACCCUAGUAGUC